rnacentral:rRNA from 1 species
UAGGGAAUAUUGGUCAAUGGAUGAGAGUCUGAACCAGCCAUGCCGCGUGCAGGAAGAAGGCCUUCUGGGUUGUAAACUGCUUUUGCCGGGGGAUAAAAUUCCCAUGCGUGGGACAUUGAAGGUACCCGGUGAAUAAGCCACGGCUAACUACGUGCCAGCAGCCGCGGUAAUACGUAGGUGGCAAGCGUUGUCCGGAUUUAUUGGGUUUAAAGGGUGCGUAGGCGGCCUAUUAAGUCAGUGCUGAAAUAUCCCGGCUUAACCGGGAGGGUGGCAUUGAUACUGAUGGGCUUGAGUGGAGUCGAGGUAGGCGGAAUUGACGGUGUAGCGGUGAAAUGCUUAGAUAUCGUCAAGAACACCGAUAGUGAAGACAGCUUACUAGACUUCAACUGACGCUGAGGCACGAAAGUGUGGGGAUCAAACAGGAUUAGAUACCCUGGUAGUCCACACUGUAAACGUUGAUUACUCGCUGUGUGCGAUAUACAGU